rnacentral:rRNA from 1 species
GUACACCUACGGGGGGCAGCAGUGGGGAAUAUUGCACAAUGGGGGAAACCCUGAUGCAGCGACGCCGCGUGAGUGAAGAAGUAUUUCGGUAUGUAAAGCUCUCUCAGCAGGGAAGAAAAUGACGGUACCUGAUUAAGAAGCCCCGGCUAACUACGUGCCAGCAGCCGCGGUAAUACGUAGGGGGCAAGCGUUAUCCGGAUUUACUGGGUGUAAAGGGAGCGUAGACGGCAGCGCAAGUCUGAAGUGAAAUGCCGGGGCUUAAUCCCGUAACUGCUUUGGAAACUG